rnacentral:lncRNA from 1 species
AUCAACAAUCACAAAAUCAUAUUUCACACUAAGGAUAUGAGUCUAAGAUAGUUGAUGUGAUCUAUCCAAAACCAAACAAUCAUAAAGUGGCAGAAUCAAGGUUAGAAGUCAAAUCUUGGGAGCAGGAGCCAGAACAAUAAUGCUUUAUAAUCUGAGAGUGCUUUCCCAUUUAUCUCAUUUGUCCUUUCCAACAGCCCUCUGACAGGUAAAGCAUAUAUUUAUUUGAAUAGAUCAUUCCUUUUGUAGAAGGGAGGAUCCUGAGGCAAGAGGGGAAAUGGUCUGCUUGAGGUCACGUAGCAAGUGAGUAGCAAAAAAGGGGCUAGCAUGUGAGUCUUCUGGUUCCUGGUUCACUGUUCUUUUUUACUAUAGCCUGUUGCUUCUCUUCACGUAUUUUAAUGAGUUCUGAAAAGCUGAUUUCUUAAGAAAUUGCUUGGUUCAUAUAUACCCAAAGUAGAGAAAAUGUGAGAGGGCUUGGUGAUAAAUCAUGAAAAUGAGAAUUCACAAUUAUAUGAAAAAAAAAUGAGGUAAGAAGCAUUCCCCCCCCCGCCCACACACACACUCAUCAUGAAGAUAAAUGAGGCUAGAACAUGACAUCUUUUUAAAAAAAAAGCAUGUGACCCAUGCUAGUAUUUAAACAGAGAUUCUUCUUCCAGAAGGAAGAUAGGAUCUAGAAGUUAGUUCUUCAAAUGGAAAUAUCUUAUCCCUAAGAGAGAAGAGAGAUUUAGAUUGGAGAAAUAGAGAAGUGAUUUCAAAAGGAGAGUGAGAGCUCGAAAGGGCCUUAGAACAAAGAAUGUUCUCUUCAGAAUAGAGACUGCCUGACCUGGAAGGGAC